rnacentral:rRNA from 1 species
CCUACGGGAGGCAGCAGUGAGGAAUAUUGGUCAAUGGGCUUACGCCUGAACCAGCCAAGUCGCGUGAGGGAAGACUGCCCUAUGGGUUGUAAACCUCUUUUGUCAGGGAGCAACGCCGGCUACGUUUAGCCGGACUGAGAGUACCUGAAGAAAAAGCAUCGGCUAACUCCGUGCCAGCAGCCGCGGUAAUACGGAGGAUGCGCGCUGUAUCCGGAUUUAUUGGGUUUAAGGGUUGCGAGGGGGGAAUGCCAAGUCAGCGGGAAAAUCGCGGGGCUCAACCCCCCUCCGCAGUUGAAACUGGCGUUCUUGAGUGGGCGAGAGGUAUGCGGAAUGCGUGGUGUAGCGGUGAAAUGCAUAGAGAUCACGCAGAACUCAGAUUGCGAAGGCAGCAUACCGGCGCCCAACUGACGCUGAAGCACGAAAGCGUGGGUAUCGAACAGGAUUAGAUACCCGAGUAGUC